rnacentral:misc_RNA from 1 species
UCCGGUUUGACACCGGCAGUCUCCCUAGAGUGCCCGGCAUAACCCGCUGGUAACUAGGGACGAGGGUUGCGCUCGUUUUGGCACUUAAGCCAACACCUCACGGCACGAGCUGACGACAGCCAUGCAGCACCUGUGCAAGCUCUCGACUGGUUACGAGUCGUCCCCCUUUCAGGUUCCUACUUCUUGCAUGUCAAGCCUAGGUAAGGUUCUUCGCGUAGCAUCGAAUUGAACCACAUGUUCCACCGCUUGUGCUGGCCCCCGUCAAUUCCUUUGAGUUUCAGCCUUGCGGCCGUACUCCCCAGGUGGGUGACUUAACAGGUUACCUACGGCACUGACCCACAGAUGUGAGCCAACACCUAGUCACCAUAGUUUACGGCUAGGACUAC